AUUCUGAGUUUAUGGAAAUCAAGAACCCACUUUCUCUUCCCAAGCAAUGGUUGAUUUGAGAUUUCUGUAAGAUAGGGUUUUAUCUUAAUUUUCAGUUGGCGAUUCAAAAUGUUGAUUCCAAAUUAUAAUAAUGUGUGGAGAUUUUUGAGAUUAUUAUUGUUAUAUAUGGAGUGGUAAUUCGUGUCAGAAAAAUGGUUGAUAUUAAUAAAGAAGGGGGAGAUUUGGGAAUGUGGCAAUGGGGGGCGGAAAGCCUCGUGGCUGGUGAUAACAUCAAACUCUUUAACGAUGAGGUCAUCAGGAAUGUAAAGAGUUUAGAGGAAAUAAAGAAGGGUGAUUGAGGCGACGCCCUGCCAUCUGGGAUUGCUUGUUUUCCCCUCUGUUAAGGCACGGAAGUUGCGGGGGAGGGGAGGGGAUUGCUGGUUAGAACUGUUAACAUUUAUUGUUUAGUGUGGUUUCAAGUGUUAAUGAAACCCGGGAAAAGCAAUCACGUUUUGUUGCUUUCGGGAACCUUGUGGUGGGCACAGCGUGUGCAGAAGAAGAGGGAGACAGUCGAAGCCGCUCUUGCAGUCUGGAACAAAAGCCAGAGGAAACUGAACUUUGUCCUUGUUUCUAAAUAUACUGACUCCUGGACAGAUUGAAACAAACUGGUGUGAUUAUAGUCCCUGUCUUGGCAACUGCAUUUGAUGCAAUCCUGCUGCCACACAAAUUUAUUAUGGAAUGGGAAGAGAGCAGUGGAGAAAAGGUGUGUGUUUAUAAAGGCACCUGAAAAACAAAACUUUUGAGAAGCUGAAACCUGCUGGGGAAAUAAAUGGGCCACUUGCAGAGUCAUACAUUUGGACAAAAGAUGGUGUUUUCAAAGAUAGCUAUGGGCAUUAGGGUUAUACUUCAAAGGCUAUGGUUAACAUUUGCAUUUGUAUAAACCAAAGCAGUGCUGAGCAGAUGUCUCCCACCCUGAUUCUUCAAAUGCACCGCCGCAGCCCGGGUUGUCCUGUUAUCCUGUGAUCUGCUGCUUAGUCCUGUGUCUUUCUGUGAUCCUGUGCUGGUAUCUGGCUGUAUACUGCUGCCCCUGCAUACGUGAGCACUUCUUACUGACCAGGUCCCAGUGGCCCUGGGGCUUCUCCAUCACAAAGCUUUCGGAGCAGGGCAAUAGUUAUUUUGAUAUAGGGCUCUUCAGAAAUGAAACAUUUUUUCUUGGUUGGCUUGUUUGGAAGAGAGCAUGGAGAAGAAAAAAAUGAUGUGAAGCAGCAAGUAGAGCUAAGACUGUUUUUGUUUCAUGGGAUCUUGUUAUUUAAUAAAAUGGAUGAGCUUUCUAGGAAGCUCUAGAGACAA